rnacentral:rRNA from 1 species
AGUGAACGCCGGCGGUAGGCCUAACACAUGCAAGUCGAACGGCAGCACAGUAAGAGCUUGCUCUUACGGGUGGCGAGUGGCGGACGGGUGAGGAAUACAUCGGAAUCUACUUUUUCGUGGGGGAUAACGUAGGGAAACUUACGCUAAUACCGCAUACGACCUACGGGUGAAAGCAGGGGAUAUUCGGACCUUGCGCGAUUGAAUGAGCCGAUGUCGGAUUAGCUAGUUGGCGGGGUAAAGGCCCACCAAGGCGACGAUCCGUAGCUGGUCUGAGAGGAUGAUCAGCCACACUGGAACUGAGACACGGUCCAGCCUCCUACGGGAGGCAGCAGUGGGGAAUAUUGGACAAUGGGCGCAAGCCUGAUCCAGCCAUACCGCGUGGGUGAAGAAGGCCUUCGGGUUGUAAAGCCCUUUUGUUGGGAAAGAAAAGCAGCAGGUUAAUACCCCGCUGUUCUGACGGUACCCAAAGAAUAAGCACCGGCUAACUUCGUG